UACGAAGGGUGCAAGCGUUACUCGGAAUUACUGGGCGUAAAGCGUGCGUAGGUGGUUCGUUAAGUCUGAUGUGAAAGCCCUGGGCUCAACCUGGGAAUGGCAUUGGAUACUGGCGACCUAGAGUGCGGUAGAGGGGUGUGGAAUUCCCGGUGUAGCAGUGAAAUGCGUAGAUAUCAAGUGGAACACCAGUGGCGAAGGCGAGUCUCUGGACAUUUCCUGACGCUGAGGCACGAAAGCCAGGGGAGCAAACGGG
rnacentral:rRNA from 1 species